rnacentral:rRNA from 1 species
AGUAAAUAGAUACCCUGGUAGUCCAUGCUCUAAACGAUGAGUGCUAAACGUUGGACUUUUUAAGUUCAGUGUUACAGCUAAACGCAUUAAGCACUCCGCCUGGGGAGUAUGACCGCAAGGUUGAAACUCAAAGGAAUUGACGGGGGGCCCUCACAAGCGGUGGAGCAUGUGGUUUAAUUCGAAACGACGCGCAAAAACCUUACCAACCCUUGACAUAUGAUUUAUCUUUUUUGUAGAGAUCUUUAAAGUUAUGAUCAUACAGGUGUUGCAUGGCUGUCGUCAGCUCGUGUCGUGAGAUGUUGGGUUAAGUCCUAUAACGAGCGCAACCCUCAUUUCCUGUUGGAAGUAAAAUAUUUUACCUACUCUGGAAAACUGCCAAUGAUAAGUUGGAGGAAGGUGAGGAUGACGUCAAGUCCGCAUGGCCCUUAUGGGUUGGGCGUACACACGUGCUACAAUGGAAAUGACAAAGAGAUGCGAUAGCGCGAGCUGGAGCGAAUCUCUAAAAACGUUUACCUCAGUACAGAUUGUUCUCUGCAAC